UAUGUUGGGAGUAUUUCAUUCUCUUCCUUUUUUGCUUAAAUUAUUAGUUUGCCUACAUUUGAUGCUACCAUAUAUAUCAGCUGUUGAAAAGAUGUUAUGGUUUUCUUAAUUUGGGCCGAAAUACAUCAGUUUUUCUGCAACUAUUACUGGUGGUGAUGCAUCUCAUGAUAGGAGCUGUGUGAUUUAAAGGUUUGACUGGUUACUGAUACUGAGUCAAAUAAGCCCAAGGGUUAUUUAUGCAUUCAUUGAAUACCUGCACACAAGAGACACUAAAGCUGCUUUAUAAGCAAGCUGAUGGUAGGAAAAUUGAGAGUAGAAGGGUUGUGGCUGUUGAAUGUGGGAGGACUGUUACA